rnacentral:rRNA from 1 species
UGCGCAGGCGGACCUAUCAGUCAGUGGCGAAAUCCCGGGGCUCAACUCCGGAACUGCCAUUGAUACUGUAGGUCUUGAGUUUGGUUGAAGUGGGCGGAAUGUAGCAUGUAGCGGUGAAAUGCAUAGAUAUGCUACAGAACACCGAUCGCGAAGGCAGCUCACUAAGCCAAUACUGACGCUCAGGCACGAAAGCGUGGGUAGCGAACAGGAUUAGAUACCCUGGUAGUCC